rnacentral:rRNA from 1 species
GAUGAACGCUGGCGGCGUGCCUAAUACAUGCAAGUCGAGCGAACAGACGAGGAGCUUGCUCCUCUGACGUUAGCGGCGGACGGGUGAGUAAAACGUGGAUAACCUACCUAUAAGACUGGGAUAACUUCGGGAAAACGGAGCUAAUACCGGAUAAUAUAUUGAACCGCAUGGUUCAAUAGUGAAAAACGGUUUUGCUGUCACUUAUAGAUGGAUCCGCGCCGCAUUAGCUAGUUGGUAAGGUAACGGCUUACCAAGGCAACGAUGCGUAGCCGACCUGAGAGGGUGAUCGGCCACACUGGAACUGAGACACGGUCCAGACUCCUACGGGAGGCAGCAGUAGGGAAUCUUCCGCAAUGGGCGAAAGCCUGACGGAGCAACGCCGCGUGAGUGAUGAAGGUCUUCGGAUCGUAAAACUCUGUUAUUAGGGAAGAACAAAUGUGUAAGUAACUAUGCACGUCUUGACGGUACCUAAUCAGAAAGCCACGGCUAACUACGUG